AAAGUAUGCUGAUUAUACAUUUUCGAUACCUUAUGACAAAGGAAGUGACAUACACAAUAAAAUAAAGUACUGUUUUGGGAAAUCUUAAGCCUAGUAAUGUAUUGUCUUGGUGAAAUAUUUUGGUGUUGAAUAUUGCCCAGAAUCAUUGUCAAAUCUUACAUUUAUGAUACCUAUAGUUGAAAGGUUUAGGGCAUAGUUGCAAAAUGGCACAAUAGUGGCUGUGCUGUAAAUGUGCUAGAUUGAGAACCUUUAGUUGGGCUUUGAAAGUUUUGGCCAACACAUUUUCUCAAAAUUUUCCUCUCAAACGUCUUAAUUUCUACAGAUGGCGAAAUGGUGAACCAAAUUGGGAAUCCAUAUCCAAUA